rnacentral:rRNA from 2 species
UACGAAGGGGGCUAGCGUUGUUCGGAUUUACUGGGCGUAAAGCGCGUGUAGGCGGGUCGUUAAGUUGGGGGUGAAAUCCCGAGGCUCAACCUCGGAACUGCCUUCAAAACUGGCGACCUGGACCUAAGUAGAGGCAAGUGGAAUUGCGAGUGUAGAGGUGAAAUUCGUAGAUAUUCGCAGGAACACCAGUGGCGAAGGCGACUUGCUGGACUUAUGGUGACGCUGAGACGCGAAAGCGUGGGGAGCAAACAGG